rnacentral:lncRNA from 1 species
CAAUAUUGUUGAAUGGAUAAGGCAGUGGCUGAGUGACAGGCAACAGAGGGUUGUAGUCAAUGGAAUAUAUUCGAAGCUUGGACUUGUCACCAGUGGGGUACCUCAGAGAUCUGUACUUGGGCCCAUUCUCUUUAAUAUUUUAUUAGUGAUAUUGCAGAAGGUCUUGAUGGUAAGGUAUGUCUUUUUGCUGAUGAUACUAAGAUAUGUAACAGGGUUGAUGUUCCAGGAGGGAUAAGCCAAAUGACAAAUGAUUUAGGUAAACUAGAAAAAUGGUCAGAAUUGUGGCAACUGACAUUUAAUGUGGAUAAGUGCAAGAUAAUGCAUCUUGGACGUAAAAACCCAAGGGCAGAGUACAGAAUAUUUGAU